rnacentral:rRNA from 1 species
GACGAACGCUGGCGGCGUGCUUAACACAUGCAAGUCGAGCGGAAAGGCCCCUUUGUUGUUACUCCAGGGUCGACCGGGUACGUAACACUUAAGUAACCUGCCCUUGACUUCGAGCUAACUUCAACAAACUGAGACUAAUACCGAAUCCGAAUCCUUACUGCAUAGAGGGGGUUGGAGAGUUUCGGCGGUUUUGGCUGGACUCGCGGCUUAUCAGCUUGUUGGUGGGGUAGUGGCUUACGAAGGCGUUGACGGGUAGGCGGCCUGAGAGGGGGACCGGCCACAUUAGGACUGAGAGACGGACCAGAAGCCUACGGGAGGCAGCAGUGGGGAAUAUUGCACAAUGGGCGGAAGCCUGAUGCAGCAACGCCGCGUGCGGGAUGACGGGCUUGGGGUUGUAAACCGCUUUCAGCAGGGGAGAAGCUUGUGGUGACGGUACCUGCAGAAGAAGCAACGGCUAACUACGUG